rnacentral:rRNA from 1 species
GACGAACGCUGGCGGCGUGCUUAACACAUGCAAGUCGAACGGAAAGGCCCUGCUUUUGUGGGGUGCUCGAGUGGCGAACGGGUGAGUAACACGUGAGUAACCUGCCCUUGACUUUGGGAUAACUUCAGGAAACUGGGGCUAAUACCGGAUAGGAGCUCCUGCUGCAUGUUGGGGUUUGGAAAGUUUCGGCGUUUGGGGAUGGUCUCGCGGCUUAUCAGCUUGUUGGUGGGGUAGUGGCUUACCAAGGCUUUGACGGGUAGCCGGCCUGAGAGGGUGCCCGGCCACAUUGGGACUGAGAUACGGCCCAGACUCCUACGGGAGGCAGCAGUGGGGAAUAUUGCACAAUGGGCGGAAGCCUGAUGCAGCAACGCCGCGUGCGGGAUGACGGCCUUCGGGUUGUAAACCGCUUUCGCCUGUGACGAAGCGUGAGUGACGGUAAUGGGUAAAGAAGCACCGGCUAACUACGUG